UACGUAGGGGCAAGCGUUGUCCGGAAUCAUUGGGCGUAAAGAGCGUGGUAGGCGGUCCGUUAAGUCGGCUGUGAAAGUCCAAGGCUCAACCUUGGGAUGCCGGUCGAUACUGCCGGACUAGAGUUCGGAAGAGGCGAGUGGAAUUCCCGGUGUAGCGGUGAAAUGACGCAGAUAUCGGGAGGAACACCUAUGGCGAAGGCAGCUCGCUGGGACGUUACUGACGCUGAGACGCGAAAGCGUGGGGGAGCAAACAGG
rnacentral:rRNA from 1 species